rnacentral:tRNA from 1 species
GGGGUUGUGGCUCAGUUGGUAGAGCACUCGCCUAGUGAGUGCGAGGUCCUGGGUUCAAUCCUCAGCGCCA